GCCCUCGUCGUUCAACGGACAGGAUGCAAGCUUGCGGAGCUUGUGAUAGAGGUUCGAUUCCUCUCGAGGGCA
rnacentral:tRNA from 1 species